CCAAUAGCGUAUAUUAAAGUUGUUGCAGUUAAAAAGCUCGUAGUUGAAUUUCGGGAUCAAUAUGUCGGUCGUGCCUCGGUACGUACUGGCAUCAUUGGUUUCUCCCUUCUGAUGAACCAUGAUGCCAUUAAUUUGGUGUCGUGGGGAAUCAGGACUGUUACUUUGAAAAAAAUUCGAGUGUUUAAAGCAGGCUCACGCUUGAAUACAUUAGCAUGGAAUAAUGAAAUAGGACGUUUGAUUCUAUUUUGUUGGUUUCUAGGAUCGACGUAAUGAUUAAUAGGGUUAGUUGGGGGCAUUAGUAUUCAAUUGUCAGAGGUGAAAUUCUUGGAUUUAUUGAAGACUAACUACUGCGAAAGCAUUUGCCAAGGAUGUUUUCAUUAAUCAAGAACGAAAGUUAGGGGAUCGAAGACGAUCAGAUACCGUCGUAGUCUUAACCAUAAACUAUGCCGACUAGGGAUCGGAUGAUGUUAAUUUUUUAAUGACUCAUUCGGCGCCUUACG
rnacentral:rRNA from 1 species